AGCUGCGCUGUAAGCACAUAGCGAACUAUUCUUUCGCCUUUUACUAAAGAAUACCGUGUGCUUGCUGCAUAUAAGUAGCAUACACCUAUUUUUGGAGGGGUCCUUUCAGUUCUU